rnacentral:rRNA from 1 species
UGUAAGCGUAUACCAAAGUUGUUGCAGUUAAAACGCUCGUAGUCGGAAUUUGGCAGUUCCGGAUGUGUGCACGUCGUGUGCGCACUUCGCGGGGAUUGCUUUUGUGGUCUUGCGUAGGAUGAGGCACUUUUAUUAGUGAACGUCCUCACGCAACCACUUUUUACUGUGAGAAAAUCAGAGUGCUCAAAGCAGGCAUUUGCCGUGAAUGUAUUAGCAUGGAAUAAUAGAAUAGGACUUGGUUCUAUUUUGUUGGUUUGUUGGGACUGAGUAAUGAUUAAGAGGGACGGUUGGGGGCAUUUGUAUUUCGGUGCUAGAGGUGAAAUUCUUAGAUUACCGAAAGACAAACCGCUGCGAAAGCGUCUGCCAAGGAUGUUUUCAUUGA